AAAAACCUUCAAAGCAUCGAAUACUUUGAAGGUUUCAUUUCAUUUAUAAAUAAAUUUUAGAGCAAAUUAAGUUAGUUUCAAUAAUGUUGAUUUCCAAACAGCUGACUCCUAGGGGAGUAGCGUGAGUCCAAAGACUACAGGCUUUGGCCACGCCCCAGGAAAGCAUGCUGUUUUAGAAAUUAAUUUGUAUAUUAAUGAAUAUAUUGG
rnacentral:ncRNA from 1 species